GUAAUUUCCAAGUAUAUCCCUGACAAUUUCUUAAAUUGCAAGUAUACUCCUGACAAAUUUUUAAUUGCAAAUAUACCCCUGUCAUAUAUUACAUUCUCGUUGCGCUCUCUCGCCUGCCCCCCCCCCCCACACACACACACAUCGCUGUAGUUAAAGCGACUCAAAAUCUGUUGAAUUGUUGCAAACGCCGAGAAUGCAAAGAAAUAUAUUCCUGCGCAUUCACUGAAGGUGCAGAUUGCAAUCACGUCAGGGCAUAGAAGAUUCAGAAGACUCUCGGAACGGUCGUGUUAUUGUCUUCAAGACAGCAGGUACUAGGAAUUCAAAGAAAUAAAGCAUUUUUUCGCAUAGAGAUACCAAGCAAUGGCGAAGCCGAAGAGCAAUGCUCACACCAACAUGGCAACAGCAGGGAGGGCUUCUAGAGCUUGCGAUGGCUGCGGCUCUCAGGAACCACGAUGGUAUUAUGAGGCUAACAAUGUGUAUCUUUGUAGCAGAUGCGACUGGAGCGUGCACUCGGCUAAUGCUCUCGCCUCGCGCCACGAGCAUGUCCUUCUCAAUUCCCAGGGCACCGUUUCUCGAGGACCGAAGAAAGCCCAACGGCAACGAAGCUCACAAGGCUCACCAUCCUGGGUCAACGCACACCCACUUUCAGCCGUCACGGAAGCGCUCUCGUCUUUCCCAACGCCCAAUCCUCACCUUCAAAACGCGGCCGACAUUUCCAACCUAGAACAUUGCCGCGGUAAGUUGAAAUCCGAAAGCAGGAACCUGGGAGAAUCCCACGAGGUGUCAAACUUCAUCACCGUCAAUAUCCAGGAGUCUCCUCUCUCCUUUGCCCAUGACAGUGCCAUGGGGAUAUCCAUGGCAGAGUUUUGCAAGGGAAGGGCAACUGCAGUUGCGGCCGUGUACAUGGGCGUGGGGGACGCGUACGAGGAGCUCAGCAGUGGAGACUCCGGACCAGAUUUUCUGGUGCCGAAUGGCUACACGGAAGACUUAGUGAGUGCCACUGGAGCACCCACCGAGUACCACCGGAAUGCAGGAAGUUUCUUAGACGCUGGCAAUGGCGACGAGGACACGGACAACAGCCAUGAGAUGGCGUGUGUGGGAGAUGGCUUGCAGCUUUGUAGGAGCGACGAGCGUUACAGAGGUUAUCCCAUGGGAUUAGGGGAUGGGGACGCCUUUGAAGUUAAUUGUGAGAAUACGUCUGGAUUUGUUGAUGAAUGCUGCAAGGUAACCGGCGGUGGACUUGGCGAUGGCAUGGAAUGCAGCCUUCAAGCUAAAUUAACUUUAAUGUUAGAG
rnacentral:lncRNA from 1 species